rnacentral:rRNA from 1 species
CAGGAGAGGAAAGUGGAAUUCCCAGUGUAGCGGUGAAAUGCGUAGAUAUUGGGAGGAACACCAGUAGCGAAGGCGGCUUUCUGGACUGCAACUGACACUGAGGCACGAAAGCGUGGGUAGCAAACAGGAUUAGAUACCCUGGUAGUCCACGCUGUAAACGAUGAGUACUAGGUGUCGGGGGUUACCCCCCUCGGUGCCGCAGCUAACGCAUUAAGUACUCCGCCUGGGGAGUACGCACGCAAGUGUGAAACUCAAAGGAAUUGACGGGGACCCGCACAAGUAGCGGAGCAUGUGGUUUAAUUCGAAGCAACGCGAAGAACCUUACCUAAGCUCGACAUCCCUCGGACAGGUGUUUAAUCACACCCUUCCUUCGGGACUGAGGUGACAGGUGGUGCAUGGUUGUCGUCAGCUCGUGUCGUGAGAUGUUGGGUUAAGUCCCGCAACGAGCGCAACCCUUGUCUUUAGUUGCCAGCAUUCAGUUGGGCACUCUAGAGAGACUGCCAGGGAUAACCUGGAGGAAGGUGGGGAUGACGUCAAAUCAUCAUGCCCCUUAUGCUUAGGGCUACACACGUGCUACAAUGGGUGGUACAGAGGGUUGCCAAACCGUGAGGUGGAGCCAAUCCCUUAAAGCCAUUCUCAGUUCGGAUUGUAGGCUGAAACUCGCCUACAUGAAGCUGGAGUUACUAGUAAUCGCAGAUCAGAAUGCUGCGGUGAAUGCGUUCCCGGGUCUUGUACACACCGCCCGUCACACCACGGGAGUCGGAAACACCCGAAGCCGAUUAUCCAACCGCAAGGAGGAAGUCGUCGAAGGUGGCGUCGAUAACUGGGGUGAAGUCGUAACAAGGUAGCCGUAUCGGAAGG